rnacentral:rRNA from 1 species
ACUCAAAUGAAUAGACGGGGGCCCGCACAAGCGGUGGAGUAUGUGGUUUAAUUCGACGCAACGCGAAGAACCUUACCAGGCCUUGACAUGGGAAGUUUGGGUCACAGAGAUGUGACUCUUCAGUUCGGCUGGCUUCCACACAGGUGCUGCAUGGCUGUCGUCAGCUCGUGUCGUGAGAUGUUGGGUUAAGUCCCGCAACGAGCGCAACCCUCAUCUUUAGUUGCCCCCAGGUAAUGCUGGGCACUCUAAAGAAACCGCCGGUGACAAGCCGGAGGAAGGCGGGGAUGACGUCAAGUCCUCAUGGCCCUUACGGCCUGGGCUACACACGUACUACAAUGGUGGUGACAGUGGGUCGCGAAACCGCGAGGUUCAGCCAAUCCCAAAAAGCCAUCUCAGUUCAGAUUGCACUCUGCAACUCGGGUGCAUGAAGUUGGAAUCGCUAGUAAUCGUGGAUCAGCACGCCACGGUGAAUACGUUCCCGGGCCUUGCACACACCGCCCGU